rnacentral:rRNA from 1 species
UUGAAACAGCAGUUCCCAUACGAUCACCGAAGUUAAGCAACGUCGAGUCUGGCCAGUACCUAGAUGGGUGACCGCUAGGGAAUACCAGCUGCUGUAA